UGCGGCCGAUUAGGUAGUUGGUUAGGUAAUGGCUUACCAAGCCGGUGAUCGGUACGGGUUGUGAGAGCAAGAGCCCGGAGAUGGAACCUGAGACAAGGUUCCAGGCCCUACGGGGUGCAGCAGGCGCGAAACCUCCGCAAUGUGAGAAAUCGCGACGGGGGGAUCCCAAGUGCCAUUCUUAACGGGAUGGCUUUUCAUUAGUGUAAAGAGCUUUUGGAAUAAGAGCUGGGCAAGACCGGUGCCAGCCGCCGCGGUAACACCGGCAGCUCUAGUGGUAACAAUUUUUAUUGGGCCUAAAGCGUCCGUAGCCGGUUUAAUAAGUCUCUGGUGAAAUCCUGUAGCUUAACUGUGGGAAUUGCUGGAGAUACUAUUAGACUUGAGACCGGGAGAGGUUAGAGGUACUCCCAGGGUAGAGGUGAAAUUCUGUAAUCCUGGGAGGACCGCCUGUUGCGAAGGCGUCUAACUGGAACGGUUCUGACGGUGAGGGACGAAAGUUAGGGGCGCGAACCGGAUUAGAUACCCGGGUAGUCCUAACUGUAAACGAUGCGGACUUGGUGUUGGGGUGGCUUUGAGCUGCUCCAGUGCCGAAGGGAAGCUGUUAAGUCCGCCGCCUGGGAAGUACGGUCGCAAGACUGAAACUUAA
rnacentral:rRNA from 1 species